GUAAGGCGGGCCCGGCGAGCGUCUCAACGGAGCCGUUUUACCCUGCCCCCCCCCGCCCCUCACUUCUCGCCCCGUGCGGUCCGCCCACUCGGCGUUCACUCUUUUGGAGUUCACCGGCUGCGGUUCAGCCCACCCCCGUUCCCGCGACGCCCUCUGUCGCCUCACAGUCUCAUUUGUAAAAUGGGAAUGAUCACCUUGUUGGACUGCUAUAAGGAUUAAAUGAAAUAACCAUGGUAAGCACAUUACAUUAAAUAGCCAGUGAGUAUUAACUAUUAUUGUAAUUGUUAUUAUAAGCUGAAUCACUUCAAUACUGUCCUAUCUGGUUCUAAUUUCUUUCAUUCUUGCUUUUGUCACUCUCCUUCCCAAACCCAAACCAACCAUAUCACGUUUCCAUUUAGCAGUAACAUGUCAUUUGUCUGCUUAAAAACCUUCAGUGGAUUUCCCAUGACUAAAUAUUUAUUACAUUAGGAUAAAAUUAAAAAUGUUUACUAUGAUGUGUAAGAUUCUGCAUAACCUGAUUCUUUCCCACUUCAUUUCACCCCAUUCUCUUUUCCCUCACUAAACUCCAGCCACAAUGUUUUUCAUUUGCUUAGUUACACCAAGUUAUUUCCCACCAUAGAACCUUUGCAUGUGUGGUUCUGGACUGUUCCAGCAUGACUAUCUCUCAAUUAACUCAUUCUUCAAUUUUCACCUGAUGUGGUACUUCCUUAGAGAAGCCUUCUCUUGAUACUCUCUAACCUGUAUCCCCCUGCUGCUGCUAAGUUGCGUCAGUCGUGUCUGACUCUGUGCGACCCCAUAUACAGCAGCCCACCAGACUCCGCCAUCCCUGGGAUUCUCCAGGCAAGAACACUGGAGUGGGUUGCUGUUUCCUUCUCCAAUGCAUGAAAGUGAAAAGUGAAAGUGAAGUCACUCAGUCGUGUCUGACCCUCAGCGACCCCAUGGACUGUAGCCUGCCAGGCUCCUCCAUCCAUGGGACUUUCCAGGCAAGAGUACUGGAGUGGGGUGCCAUCGCCUUCUCCGGUGUAUUCCCCUACCCAUCCUAAAUUAGGUACCCUGUGAGAAUUUCUCACCAUGCCCUGAACUUUAUACCAUAUUCAGUACUUUUAAUUAUAUAUUUACUUGUGUGAUUUAAAGUCUAUCUUCCA
ensembl:lncRNA